rnacentral:rRNA from 1 species
GAAAGUAAGCAAGGGCAGACGGUGGAUGCCUUGGCUCUCGGAGGCGACGAAGGACGUGAUAAGCUGCGAAAAGCCCGGGGGAGGCGCAAAUAGCCGUUGAUCCCGGGAUAUCCGAAUGGGGCAACCCGGCAGGCUGAAGGCCUGUCAUCCCGAAAGGGAGGCGAACGUGGGGAACUGAAACAUCUAAGUACCCAUAGGAGGAGAAAAUAAACAAUGAUUCCGUAAGUAGUGGCGAGCGAACACGGAAGAGCCCAAACCCAUGUCGUCUAGGCGACACGGGGGUUGUAGGACCACGACGUGGCAAGAAGGAAGGGAAAUGGAACGCCUUGGAAAAGUCGGCCAUAGACGGUGAAAGCCCGGUACAUGACUCCCUUACGAAGCCUAGUGGUAUCCUGAGUAGCGCGGGGCACGAGAAAUCUUGCGUGAAGCAGCGGGGCCCAUCCCGUAAGGCUAAAUACUCCCGAGAGACCGAUAGCGAACCAGUACCGUGAGGGAAAGGUGAAAAGAACCCCGAGCAGGGGAGUGAAAUAGACCCUGAACCCGUCUGCCUACAAGCGGUCGGAGCGUCGUAAUGACGUGACGGCGUGCCUUUUGCAUAAUGAACCUACGAGUUACCUUCCCCGGCAAGGUUAAGUACCUAAGGUACGGAGCCGAAGCGAAAGCGAGUCUGAACAGGGCGCCAAGUCGGGGGGGGUAGACGCGAAACCGAGUGAUCUACCCUUGGCCAGGUUGAAGGUUGGGUAACACCAACUGGAGGACCGGAUGGGUAAGCGUUGAAAAGCUUUCCAAUGAGCUGAGGGUAGGGGUGAAAGGCUAAUCAAACUCGGAGAUAGCUCGUACUCCCCGAAAUGCAUUUAGGUGCAGCCUCUUUAUAGUAUAUCGUGAGGUAGAGCGACUGAUUGGAUGCGAGGGCUUCACCGCCUAUCAAGUCCAGAUAAACUCCGAAUGCGCGAUAUAUAUUUACAGGGAGUGAGGGCGCGGGUGCUAAGGUCCGUGUCCGAGAGGAGAAGAAUCCAGACCACCGGCUAAGGCCCCCAAAUGAUCGUUAAGUUGAACUAACGAGGUCGGAUCGCAGAGACAGCUAGGAUGUUGGCUUGGAAGCAGCCAUUCAUUUAAAGAGUGCGUAACAGCUCACUAGUCGAGCGAUCUGGCGUGGAUAAUAAUCGGGCAUAAACGAUCUGCCGAAGCCGUGGAUGUCGCAAGACAUGGUAGGGGAGCAUUCCAUGCCGCGUCGAAGAUGAGGGAUGACCCUUGUUGGAGCGCAUGGAAAAGCAAAUGUAGGUAUGAGUAACGAUAAGGGGGGCGAGAAACCCCCCCGCCGAAAGACCAAGGUUUCCUGAUCAACGCUAAUCGGAUCAGGGUGAGUCGGGACCUAAGGCAAAGCCGAACGGCGCCGCCGAUGGAAGAAUGGGUUAAUAUUCCCAUACUGCCUCAUGGAGUGACGUGGAGACGGAGAAGUGACAGUCCUGCCGGCUGACGGAAUAGCCGGUUGAAGGGUGUAGAUAUUGAUUCCCGUAGGCAAAUCCGCGGGGAGAGUCGAACCUGAGAGUAUACGGAGCGCUUGCGCAACGUAAUAUGGACGUAACCAUGCUCCCGAGAAAAUCCGCUAAACUUAUCCAUGCGGCACCCGUACCGUAAACGGACACACGUGGUCGGGUUGAGAAUACUGAGGCGCUCGAGUGAUUCACGGUUAAGGAACUAGGCAAAUUGACCCUGUAACUUCGGGAUAAAGGGUCCUCGUCGUAAGGCGAGGCGCAGAGAAUAGGUCCAGGCAACUGUUUAACAAAAACACAUGGCUGUGCUAAAUGGAAACAUGAUGUAUACAGCCUGACACCUGCCCGGUGCUGGAAGGUUAAGAGGAGAUGUCAUCGCAAGAGAAGCGUUGAAUUGAAGCCCCAGUAAACGGCGGCCGUAACUAUAACGGUCCUAAGGUAGCGAAAUUCCUUGUCGGGUAAGUUC